GACAGAGGAGGCGAGCGUUAUCCGGAGUCAUUGGGCGUAAAGGGUACGUAGGCGGCUAGUCAAGUCUGAGGUUAAAGAACACAGCUUAACUGUGGGAAGGCCUUGGAAACUGACUGGCUAGAGUGGGGCAGGGGUUGCGGGAAUUUCCGGUGUAGCGGUGAAAUGCGUAGAUAUCGGGAAGAACACCUGACGCGAAAGCGCGCAACUGGGCCCUAACUGACGCUGCGGUACGAAAGCUAGGGGAGCGAAUGGG
rnacentral:rRNA from 1 species